AGCUCCAAUAGCGUAUAUUAAAAUUGUUGCGGUUAAAACGCUCGUAGUUGAAAUCUUGCUGGGGACUGCCGGUCUACCCCAGUGGUUAGCACUCGGUAUUGUCCUCGGCAUUUUCCUGGGGAGAGUGUUCGCACUUCAUUGUGUGGCACAUGAUCCAGAACUUUUACUUUGAGGAAAUGAGAGUGUUUCAAGCAGGCGUACGUCGUGAAUACGUUAGCAUGGAAUAAUGCAUAGGACCCCGGUGGGACGCUGUUGGUUGUU
rnacentral:rRNA from 1 species